UCUUUCUCAACCAGGAAAAUAGCAGCCAUACUGUCUGCCUGCAGUCUUGUUCAUUUUUUCCUCUUCCCCCGAGUUCCCAGUAGGGAAGUCCUGACUUUGAAAAAAGGACAAAGACUGCACUGAAGGACUAAAAGCAUCCUCGAAUCCAUAAUGGUAUGUUUAAAAACCAGGAUGUUCCACUGUCCAUUAAGAGACUCCUCCUUGCUUAUGAUUGGCUGACACCAUGGAUUAAACAUAAUAGUUUGUGGGCUUUCUUUCACUUCUGUUUUUUAUGGAUAAGCUGCAAGACGUGAAGAGUAAGCAGAUAAAAAACAGAGGAGACUGACAAGGAAGCCACUUGGAGAAAGAAAGUCAUGAUUCUUUUACAUCACAGUAAUUUCCUGAUAUGUCCCUCCUCUGAUCUCUUGCAACAAAGACAACCAGUUAAGAAGAAACAAUCAACGUAGUGGCUAAUUUAGUGCCUUCGGUACUUCACUGCAUACCCAGUUCUUCAUGUCUCUACUGAGAGAGGAUAAGUAAACUGAAGCAAAAUGAGUUAAGUGACUUGGCCAGGAG